UACGUAGGUGGCUAGCGUUAUCCGGAUUUACUGGGCGUAAAGCGCUUGUAGGUGGUUGCGUAAGUUGGACGUGAAAUCUCUGGGCUCAACUCAGAGAGGCCGUUCAAUACUGCGUGACUAGAGGAUGUCAGAGGAAGGUGGAAUUCCUGGUGUAGUAGUGAAAUGCGUAGAUAUCAGGAGGAACAUCCAUGGCGAAGGCAGCCUUCUGGGGCAUACCUGACACUGAGAAGCGAAAGCUAGGGGAGCAAACAGG
rnacentral:rRNA from 1 species